GGGAUUGUAGCUCAGUGGUAGAGCACUUACCUUGCACGCAUGAGGUCCUGGGUUCGAUCCUCAGCACCA
rnacentral:tRNA from 1 species